CCGUUGCAGCAUCUUUUCUUUUUUUCAUUUUUCUUCCCAUUUCCUUCCAACCUUCUCUCUCCUUUUCAUGCUUCUAUCCUGACCAACCCUUUAACAAACCCUAACAACCCUCAACAAGGCCUUCAAUUACAAAUCGUAUGAGGUAACAGAGUAAUAGAGAGUAGCAGCAAUGGUUCCCAAAUGUUGAGAAUGCGCUUGCGAAGUUCACAUGGGCUAAAGAAGUUCAUAAGAAGAUGGUUAAGCUGAAAGAGGAAGGCAAACCGAUGCCAAAGAACUUUGCUGAGGUGCAAAAGCUAAUGGGUUCAACACCAUUGGAUCUUGCCAAGUUUAAUAUGGUAAAGAGUGGAGAAAUGAGCCGUAAUGCUCCUUGUCCAUGUGGUUCCAAGAAGAGAUACAAAAUGUAAUUUGGCACACUAUUUCCCAGUGAUCUGUGUUGCUGUGAGUAGCUCAUAACCUGGACGCAGUGCUUAAGAGAUUUUAUGUCCUCAACCACGGACUGUUUUUCCAGUGCCAGUGUUGUUCCCUUCAAGUAGCACAAUUUUUUUAUCUUCUUUCAUAAGAAGUUUCGCUUUGUGAGCUAGUUUCGUUUUGAUACUUAUAUGUUGUUGGGGUCUACUUUAGUAUCUAACUUUACAAGUAGGUCUAUUUUGACUAUGAAUUUAUAUUCCGUCCAAAUUUAA